AGAGUUUGAUCCUGGCUCAGAUUGAACGCUGGCGGUAUGCUUAACACAUGCAAGUCGAACGCGAACGAGUUCUUCGGAACUUUAUUAGAGUGGCGGACGGGUGAGUAACGCGUAGGAACCUACCUGAUAGCGGGGAACAACCUGGUGAAAACCAGGCUAAUACCGCAUACGCCCUACGGGGGAAAGCAGGGGAUCUUCGGACCUUGCACUAUCAGAUGGGCCUGCGUCGGAUUAGCUAGUUGGUGAGGUAAUGGCUCACCAAGGCGACGAUCCGUAGCUGGUUUGAGAGAAUGAUCAGCCACACUGGGACUGAGACACGGCCCAGACUCCUACGGGAGGCCGCAGUGGGGAAUAUUGGACAAUGGGGGCAACCCUGAUCCAGCAAUACCGCGUGUGUGAAGAAGGCCCGAGGGUUGUAAAGCACUUUCACUUGUGAAGAAAAGCCUAAGGUUAAUAACCUUGGGUCUUGACGUUAACUUUAGAAGAAGCACCGGCUAACUCCGUGCCAGCCGCCGCCGGUAAUACGGAGGGUGCAAGCGUUAAUCGGAAUUACUGGGCGUAAAGCGCGC
rnacentral:rRNA from 1 species